rfam:Triticum urartu cultivar G1812 contig139359, whole genome shotgun sequence.
GAAGUACUCGCUUCGUCCGGAAAUACUUGUCCUAAAAAUGGAUACAAAUGGAUGUAUCUAGAACUAAUAUACAUCUACAUACAUUCAUUCCUUGGACACGUAUUUCUGGACAGAGGGAGUAUGUG